rnacentral:rRNA from 1 species
AUUGAACGCUGGCGGCAGGCCUAACACAUGCAAGUCGAACGGAGCAGCGGACGGGUGAGUGAUGCCUAGGAAUCUGCCUGGUCGCGGGGGAUGACGUCCGGAACCGGGAACUGCUACCGAAUCCUCUCGGAUGAGCAUCGGUCGGAUUAGCUAGAUGGUGGGGUAAAGGCAUACCAAGGCCACGAUCCGUAACUGGUCUGAGAGGAUGAUCAGCCACACUGGAACUGAGACACGGUCCAGACUCCUACGGGAGGCAGCAGUGGGGAAUAUUGGACAAUGGGCGAAAGCCUGAUCCAGCCAUGCCGCGUGUGUGAAGAAGGUCUUCGGAUUGUAAAGUACUUUAAGCUGGGAGGCGUUACUAACAGAAUAAGCACCGGCUAACUUCGUGCCAGCCGCCGCGGUAAUAC